rnacentral:rRNA from 1 species
CGAUUACGGCUCAGUAACACGUAGCUAACCUACCCUUAGGACGUGGAUACCCCCGAGAAAUUGGGGUUAAUCCGCGAUAGAUGUAAUGUCCUGGAAUGGUAUUACGUCUAAAGGUAUUUCAUACAUGUUUGAAAUAUGCCUAAGGAUGGGGCUGCGGCCGAUCAGGCUGUUGGUGAGGUAAUGGCUCACCAAACCUUUGACCGGUACGGGCCAUGAGAGUGGUAGCCCGGAGAUGGACACUGAGACAAGGGUCCAAGCCCUAAGGGGCGCAGCAACCGCGAAACCUCCACAAUGCACUCACGUGCGAUGGGGCUAUCUCGAGUGCCACCUGAUGAAGGUGGCUUUUCCUUGGUCUUCAAAGCCUUGGGAAUAAGAGGGGGGCAAGACUGGUGUCAGCCGCCGCGGUAACACCAGCCCCUCGAGUGGUGGGGAUGAUUAUUUGGCCUAAAGCGUCCGUAGCCGGCCGAGCAAGUCUUCCGUUAAAUCCAACGUCUCAAGCGUUGGACCGCGGGAGAUACUACACGGCUAGAGAGUGGGAGAGGUCAGCGGCAUUCUGGGGGUAGGGGCGAAAUCCUUUGAUCCCCGGAGGACCACCAGUGGCGAAGGCUG